UCGACCUAACAAUAAGGUCUUUAUCAAGCAUAGUGCAUAUAGUGACAACCAUGUGUUUUAUAGGGUCACCAAUAGAUGACAUCAUAUGGGGGAGUCACCCUCCAGUGUAAGGGGUGUGGCCCCAAGUGACAGUGGGCGUAAACAAUAUGUCAAAACAUACAAUGAAAAAGGUGCUAAAAUACAAUGUGCAAGUGCAUAAUAAAUAUACAUACAGUAAUACAAAAUGAUACAUUGUAUCCACAGUGGCCAUCUUAAUCUUCCGAUCUCCGUCAUAAACAUAUUCCUAGACAAACAAUAUUAUAUCCGACCUGUCCGUCAGAUGAGAUCAUGAAGACACAGCCAAUCCGGAGAGGACCCGCUUCCAUUUAGCAGCGGAAUGGAACAGGUUCCUGCAACAUUUAAGAAAAGUGCCUGGUGGACUAACCAAGAUCUCUCUGCAACCAUUUUGCGUUACUCUUGUGGCCAAAGAGUUCUCCUGGAGGUUUAAGUAACACGUACAGUGACAGAGCUACUGUGCAUAUAGUAUUACGGGGACUGCCAUCUUGCCUGAGCUUAUUUAACAGCAUUUAGAGAUAUGCUUUACAGCAGGACCCAUGGACAUAGGCAAAAAUAGACUGGAGCUGACCUAUUGCAAUGAAUAGGAAUGUUUUCUGGGCAUGCUGGGUGCCCUUUGAAGAGGUCACAGGGAGGGAAAGGCUGAGCUGAAAACAUCAUCUGUUCUCUUCUCUGUCUACUGGUGUCACUGUACCUGUGUCUGUGAUGAUAAAGA